GGAUGAACGCUGGCGGCGUGCCUAAUACAUGCAAGUCGAGCGAACAGACGAGGAGCUUGCUCCUCUGACGUUAGCGGCGGACGGGUGAGUAACACGUGGAUAACCUACCUAUAAGACUGGGAUAACUUCGGGAAACCGUAGCUAAUACCGGAUAAUAUAUUGAACCGCAUGGUUCAAUAGUGAAAGACGGUUUUGCUGUCACUUAUAGAUGGAUCCGCGCCGCAUUAGGUAGUUGGUAAGGUAACGGCUUACCAAGGCAACGAUGCGUAGCCGACCUGAGAGGGUGAUCGGCCACACUGGAACUGAGACACGGUCCAGACUCCUACGGGAGGCAGCAGUAGGGAAUCUUCCGCAAUGGGCGAAAGCCUGACGGAGCAACGCCGCGUGAGUGAUGAAGGUCUUCGGAUCGUAAAACUCUGUUAUUAGGGAAGAACAAAUGUGUAAGUAACUAUGCACGUCUUGACGGUAACUAAUCAGAAAGCCACGGCUAACUACGUG
rnacentral:rRNA from 1 species